GAUGAACGCUAGCGGCAGGCCUAAUACAUGCAAGUCGAACGGUGUCUUCGGACAUAGUGGCGCACGGGUGCGUAACACGUAUGCAACCUACCUUACAUUGGGGGAUAGCCUUUCGAAAGGGAGAUUAAUACCCCAUAAGACAGUAGCUGGGCAUCCAGCAGCUGUUAAAGAUUUAUCGAUGUAAGCUGGGCAUGCGUCCAAUUAGCUAGUUGGUGAGGUAACGGCUCACCAAGGGAAUGAUUGGUAGGGGAACUGAGAGGUCAAUCCCCCACACUGGCACUGAGAUACGGGCCAGACUCCUACGGGAGGCAGCAGUAGGGAAUAUUGGGCAAUGGACGCAAGUCUGACCCAGCCAUGCCGCGUGCAGGAUGAAGGCGUUAUGCGUUGUAAACUGCUUUUAUACAGGAAGAAACGACUCUUGCGAGAGGCAUUGACGGUACUGUAUGAAUAAGCACCGGCUAACUCCGUGCCAGCAGCCGCCGUAACAC
rnacentral:rRNA from 1 species